GCAUAUACUACAACUUGAAGAUAAUGCACCUCUUCUCGUCCAAAAGCAGAAACUAAGCAGGUUUGGGCUGGGUUAGUAUUUGGAUGGGAGACCACCUGGGAAGACUGGGUGCUGUAGGCU
rnacentral:rRNA from 1 species